rnacentral:rRNA from 1 species
GACGAACGCUGGCGGCGUGCUUAACACAUGCAAGUCGAACGCUGAAGCACCAGCUUGCUGGUGUGGAUGAGUGGCGAACGGGUGAGUAAUACGUGAGUAACCUGCCCUUGACUCUGGGAUAAGCCCGGGAAACUGGGUCUAAUACUGGAUGCUACAUGUCACCGCAUGGUGGUGUGUGGAAAGGGUUUACUGGUCUUGGGUGGGCUCACGGCCUAUCAGCUUGUUGGUGAGGUAAUGGCUCACCAAGGCGACGACGGGUAGCCGGCCUGAGAGGGUGACCGGCCACACUGGGACUGAGACACGGCCCAGACUCCUACGGGAGGCAGCAGUGGGGAAUAUUGCACAAUGGGCGAAAGCCUGAUGCAGCGACGCCGCGUGAGGGAUGACGGCCUUCGGGUUGUAAACCUCUUUCAGCAGGGAAGAAGCCACAAGUGACGGUACCUGCAGAAGAAGCGCCGGCUAACUACGUG